UUUUAUUUUCACUUCCCCAAACCAACCUACCACGAAGCAGAGAGGACCUGUUUUCUCAUAUCAUCACAUCUGAUGGAUAUGCCAAACUUCAUCCAAAUUCAAACAGGCACACCCUGAAUGACAUGGGGAAAUGGAAGGAGAAAAAAAAAAACAAUGCUAAAAAGCCUAGAGAUGACCACAUAUGAAACGACCAUGUGUGUAAAGGAUUGCUGGAAAAUAAAUCAGAGAUGGCCUGGAUUCUGCCAUGUAAAUCAAAGAAGAGAGGGCCUAACUCAGCUGCCUAGCCUGGAUCACCUGGAACCCAUUAGGAUACAGGAUCAUAAACACCUCUAUUUUCCCUUCAGAGAGAGACCAGAACCACUGGAGUUAAGCUACCUGCAUAAGAGUUGAGUGCGAUCAGCUGUACUUAAUCUUUAAAUGUCCAACCCACUGAUAACCUUUGGUUUGCUUUGAUAACUAUGAAAUAAAUUCUCACUGCAUUGGA
rnacentral:lncRNA from 1 species